rnacentral:ncRNA from 1 species
GAAAAUCCAUAGAAAAAGCAAAGUAGAUAUAUUGUAAAAUAUUACAGAGAGAAUGGUAAAGAUGAGAACCAUUUAUAUUAAAUAUAUUGAAAUUUCACUUUUGAGGUCUUUUUUUCAAAGCAAAAAGCAAGUAGAAAGAAGCGGUAGAACCGUUAAAACUAUAAAGAGGUUAAUUAGGCGAGCUUAUAGAGAGAUAUUAUGCAUAAGUAAGCCAUUAAUAAAAUUAGGUGGUACCACGAAAGAGCCAAUCGUCCUAAAA